rnacentral:rRNA from 1 species
GGAAUCUUCCACAAUGGGCGCAAGCCUGAUGGAGCAACACCGCGUGAGUGAAGAAGGGUUUCGGCUCGUAAAGCUCUGUUGUUAGAGAAGAACGUGCGUGAGAGUAACUGUUCACGCAGUGACGGUAUCUAACCAGAAAGUCACGGCUAACUACGUGCCAGCAGCCGCGGUAAUACGUAGGUGGCAAGCGUUAUCCGGAUUUAUUGGGCGUAAAGCGAGCGCAGGCGGUUUCUUAAGUCUGAUGUGAAAGCCUUCGGCUUAACCGAAGAAGUGCAUCGGAAACUGGGAAACUUGAGUGCAGAAGAGGACAGUGGAACUCCAUGUGUAGCGGUGAAAUGCGUAGAUAUAUGGAAGAACACCAGUGGCGAAGGCGGCUUGCUGGGGUCUAACUGACGCUGAGGCUCGAAAGUGUGGGGAGCAAACA